CUCACAGUGAAAGCACAAAACAUCAAGCCAACAGUUCAGGACUAGUCAUUCAAAUGGACUAAAGGUGGGGGAGAAAAAAUAAGAGUGGAUAAAAGAAAGAAAGAAAACAGAGAAAGGUGGGAAAAAAAAAACAAAGGAAGGAAGAGAGAAAAGAGAAUGAGAGGAAGAGAAGGAAGGGGAAAAACAAGAUUGACUUUACAGUAUGAGAUAUACUAUUAUAUAUUGGACCCUUGGUGGGCAGUGCCUAAACAGAGACAACUACAGGUUUCUGGCUGUGGCCACUCUCUGGUGAAACUAAGGGGUUUCUGUGUGGAGGUGCCUAACAGCCACCGUCCAGUUUGGGUAAAGAAAGCUUUUUAUGGUUCACUAAGGACAAUCAACCCCUUCGCAAUCUAGAACCAAAAGACUGGAUCUUCUGAGAACAUCUACUUAGUAUGAUGCCUCUGGCUUCCCUCUAUCACACGUCUUCUUUUCGAGUAAAGGUUUUUCAUAAAUGUGAGCGUGGAAGAAGAAACCAGUUAAAUAUGGAACUUCACACCAGGACACAAAAGGACUUCAAACUUUUAGAUUCCACAAGUAUGUGAAAAGAUGCAGUAUUUGUCUUUCUGUGCAUGGUUUACUUCACUUAUCAUCAUGUCCCUCAGGUUCAUCCACGUUGUUGCAAAUGACAGGAUUUCAUUCAUUUUUAAGACUGAAUAGUACUCCAUUAUGCAAAUAUACCAGAUUUUCAUUGUCUAUUCGUUCACUGAUGAACACGGGUUAAUCCUAUAUGUUGGCUAUUGUGAAUAAAGCUGCAAUGAAUAUGAGAGUACAGAUAUAUUCUUGACAUAUUAAUUUUAUUUUAUUUGGCAAUAUACCCAAUAGUAGCUAGAUCAUAUCAGAGUUCUAUUUUUAAUUUUUGAGGAAACUUCAUACUGUUUUUCAUAAUAGUUAUUACUAAUUUACACUCAGUAUACAAGAGUUCCCUUUUCUCCACAUUCUUUCCAAAAUUUGUUUCCUUUUCCCUUUUUGAUAACAGCUACUCUAACUGGGGUGAAAUAAUAUCUCACUGUGGUUUUAAUUUUCAUUUAUCUGAUUAAUGAUUUUGAGCUUUUUAAAAUAAAUACUUGUUGGCAAUUUGUAUGUCAUCUUUUGAGAAGUGUCUAUUAAAAUUUGUUUGCCUAUUUUUAAUCAGGUUAUUUGUUCUUACUAUUUUGUUAUUGGAGUUUCUUACAUAUUUUAGAUAUUAUGUGCAAAUAUGUCCUUCUAUGCUGUAAGUUGUCUUUCUACUCUUGUAAAAACAAGACCCAAAUAUAUACUGCAUACAAAAGAGUCACUUCAUCUGUAGGGACACAAGUAGCCUGAAAGUGAAGAAAUGAAAAACAAAAUAUUCCAUCCCAAUGAAAACCAAAGAGAAGGAGUAGCUCUACUUAUAUCAUGAAAUUGACUUUAUGUCAAAAACUGUGAAACAAGAAAAAUAAGGUUAUUAUGCAAUGAUAAAGGAGUUAAUUCAUCAAAAAUGUGUAACAAUUGCCAAUCUAUAUGCAUGCAAUAUCAGAGCAGUAAUUAUAUAAUGCAAAUAAUAGUAGAACUGAAGUUAGGGAUGCACUGUAAUAUUAUAAUAACAGGGUAAGUCAAUACCCUACUAUCUGCAAUGGAAAGAUCAUCAAGGCAGAAAAUCACUAAGAACAUAUGAGACUUAUACUGCACUUUGGAACAAAUGGAGCGAACAGACAUACACUGAACAUUUUACCCACCAUUAGUGGAAAACACAUUCUUCUCCA
rnacentral:lncRNA from 1 species